rnacentral:lncRNA from 1 species
AUUUCCAACAGAUAGAAGUGGCUUCAUCAAUAGAAUGUAGCUGCGAGUCUGCAUAUAGGUAUCAUUCAUACCCAUAAGUAGCUGAUAAACCUUCUGCUCUUCAUCCUCAGCAACUUUCCAUCCACAAGUACAAACUCUGAUCUUGUAGGAUGCAAUCUCAUCCCAGAGUUGGUUAAUUUUGUUAAAAUAUGAGGCUAUGUCUAAAGACACUUGGGAGAUAUGAGCUAAUUCUUUCUUUAGCUCAAAAAUUCUAGCCCCAACGGCUUUACCCUAUCUCUCUUCCAAUUCACACUAAAUUUCUUUGGCAGAUUCAGAAUAUUCAACACUACGAGAUGUCUCUUUUGACAAAGAGCUAAUCAACCAUGAAAGUACAAGAUCAUUACAUCAUUUCCAUUUACGAGCCAGAGGAGACCCAACGUGCUGCUUUGUAGAAGAACCGCUAAUAAAAUCAAUUUUAUUUCUAAUAGAGAGGGAAACUAAAAUAUUUCUCCUCCAGUUGCCAUAGCAAGUGCUAUCAAAUGGACUAGAAAUCAAAUAAGCUCCUAGUAUGUCUGAUGGAUG